rnacentral:rRNA from 1 species
CUGGCCUUGACAUCCCAGGAACCCUGAAGAGAUUCGGGGGUGCCGCAAGGAACCUGGAGACAGGUGCUGCAUGGCUGUCGUCAGCUCGUGUCGUGAGAUGUUGGGUUAAGUCCCGCAACGAGCGCAACCCUUGUCCUUAGUUGCCAUCAUUCAGUUGGGCACUCUAAGGAGACCGCCGGUGACAAACCGGAGGAAGGUGGGGAUGACGUCAAGUCAUCAUGGCCUUUAUGGCCAGGGCUACACACGUGCUACAAUGGCAGAUACAGAGGGAAGCCAACGCGCGAGCGGGAGCCAAUCCCAGAAAAUCUGUCGUAGUCCGGAUUGGAGUCUGCAACUCGACUCCAUGAAGUCGGAAUCGCUAGUAAUGGCGAGUCAGCAACAUCGCCGUGAAUACGUUCCC